GAGCCCAGAGCCUGAAUCAGCAUGUGUGUUAGUGGAAGCGUCUGGAAAGGCGCGCGAUACAGGGUGACAGCCCCGUACACAAAAGCGCAUGUGCUGUGAGCUCGAUGAGUAGGGCGGGACACGUGGUAUCCUGUCUGAAUAUGGGGGGACCAUCCUCCAAGGCUAAAUACUCCUGACUGACCGAUAGUGAACCAGUACCGUGAGGGAAAGGCGAAAAGAACCCCGGCGAGGGGAGUGAAAAAGAACCUGAAACCGUGUACGUACAAGCAGUGGGAGCACAGGUUUACCUGUGUGACUGCGUACCUUUUGUAUAAUGGGUCAGCGACUUAUAUUCUGUAGCAAGGUUAACCGAAUAGGGGAGCCGGAGGGAAACCGAGUCUUAAUUGGGCGUUAAGUUGCAGGGUAUAGACCCGAAACCCGGUGAUCUAGCCAUGGGCAGGUUGAAGGUUGGGUAACACUAACUGGAGGACCGAACCGACUAAUGUUGAAAAAUUAGCGGAUGACCUGUGGCUGGGGGUGAAAGGCCAAUCAAACCGGGAGAUAGCUGGUUCUCCCCGAAAGCUAUUUAGGUAGCGCCUCGUGAAUUCAUCUCCGGGGGUAGAGCACUGUUUCGGCUAGGGGGCCAUCCCGGCUUACCAACCCGAUGCAAACUGCGAAUACCGGAGAAUGUUAUCACGGGAGACACACGGCGGGUGCUAACGUCCGUCGUGAAGAGGGAAACAACCCAGACCGCCAGCUAAGGUCCCAAAGUCAUGGUUAAGUGGGAAACGAUGUGGGAAGGCCCAGACAGCCAGGAUGUUGGCUUAGAAGCAGCCAUCAUUUAAAGAAAGCGUAAUAGCUCACUGGUCGAGUCGGCCUGCGCGGAAGAUGUAACGGGGCUAAACCAU
rnacentral:rRNA from 2 species